rnacentral:lncRNA from 1 species
GGGGAGUAAUCAAGCAAUUGGAGGUGGUAACAGAUCUUACAGACCCAGCUCAAACCCAAAUGGGGGAGAGCGCUACUCUCAAAAUAGAGAAGGAGCCUAUCAAAGCACCCGUGGCUUUCAGGGAAAUUAUCAUAACAGCCGUCAGGGAAAUUUUAACGGCAGUAAUAGUAACAACUGGAACAAAGGGAAAGCAACGGAGGGCCGAACUGAUGCCACUCUAAAAUUGAAGUGCUUUUUAUGUGAAGGACCUCAUCGGGUGUCGGAGUGUCCUCAGAAGCGGAUGGUGAAUGCAUAUUGUCAGUUAGCAAGUGGCGGGCCAAGUUCAAAACAAGAGGUCCCGCAAGCUAAUUGUCAUAAUGAGACUGACUCUGAAGAGGAUGAGGAAGUAGUUG